rnacentral:lncRNA from 1 species
GGACAGCUCGUACAUCACAAGAUGGAGCCCCUGGAGGGCCCACCAUCAACAAGGCAAACAGCGCGCGCCGGAUCCGACCCCCCUCCCUCCGACAUCCCUGCUGACAAGGGGAGGGGUGUGUGUUUUUGUAUGUGUGUUUGUAGGGUGGUGUAUUAGGGAGCCAAGCGAGAAGAGGUGCGGGCCCGAGGUGUGUGUGAGAGGGCAGGUGGGAAUCGCCGUCAAGCUUUUAUUGGCCGAUGCUCAGCAAAGUUUUAUGGGAUCGUAAAAUGCCCGGAGGCUGCAAGAAAUGAGAAGGCGAGGGGAUGCAUAGAAACGGCACACUUCUCGCCCCUCUGGUCGCCGGCGUGGAUGUGGGGCAUCUGGCACGCAAAGGGGGAGAAGAUCGUGGGGAUUAAAUAGGCCAAGGCAGGCAGAAUUAUGCUAGGGUUGCCAUAUUAUGAAGAGCAAAAAAGAGGAUGCUAUGACGACUCUCAUUUCAAAUCCCCCUACUGUAUGUAGGCUAUAUUGCUGAGGGUGGGGGGCAGGAGAAGAAAAGAGGAAAGCAAGUCUUCGGCCACCAGUUUUGUCUAAGUCUCAUCCAGAAAGUAUAGCAAGAGACAUUUUGGCAAUUUUUUUAAAAAAUCCACCCAGAUGGAAAUUUUACCCCUGAAAAAGAGGACACAUGGCAAUCCUAAAUUAGGCUAACGUGUCUUCUUUCUUUCUUUCUUUCUUUGGCGAUCACUCAUAGCCGAGUAAGAUUGUCUUCCAUAAACACAGUUUUAACAAUGAGUCUGUAAGUGACUGUGGAGGCCAAUUCUAGAUCCACACAUCCUUCCACAGCAGGAACAUUGGUUUCCGGGCGGGAGUUGAUCAUGGUGUGGAUUUGCCAAGUGUGCCGUCCUCUUAGCACGUUUCUCCCUUGCGUCCUGAGUUCGAGUGUCUUCAAAGCCCAUGACACCUUUGGUAAAGGCCGUUCUCCAACUGGAGCGCUCGCAGGCCAGUGUUUCCCAGUUGUCAGUCUUUAUACUACAUUUUUUUAGAUUUGCCUUGAGACAGUCUUUAGACCUCUUUUGUUGACCACCAGCAUUACGCUUUCCAUUUUUAAGUUUGGAAUAGAGUAGUUGCUUUGGAAGACGAUCAUCAGGCAUCCGCACAACAUGACCAGUCCAACGAAGUUGAUGUUGAAGAAUCAUUGCUUCAACACUGGUGAUCUUUGCUUCUUCCAGUACACUGAUAUUAGUUCGCCUGUCUUCCCUAGUGAUGUGUAAAAUUUUUCGGAGACUCAGUUGAUGGAAUCUUUCGAGGAGUUGGAGAUGGCAUUUAUGAGUGGUACAUGCUUCACAAGCAUAUAGUAAGGUUGGUAGUACAAUAGCUUUGUAAACUUUUACCCUAUUGGUCACCCACCUCUUCACACAUUCCAGCUUGUCGAUAUCCUAUGGUGCUCAGAACUUGAAUUGGUACUCCAGGUGCAAUCUGACCAAGGCGGAAUAGAGUGAAACCUAUUACUUCCCUUGAUCUGGACACUAUACUCCUGUGGAUGUCGCCUAGAAUUGCAUUAGGUUUUUUUGCUGCUGCAUCACAUGGUUGGCUCAUGUCGGGCUUGCAGUCUACUAAGACCCCUGGUUCCUUUUCAUACGUAGUGCUGUCAAGUCAGGUCUGGGUUUGAUCCUUUGGUAAGCUAGGCUGAGAGGCUCCUUCCCCAGCUGAGGAGGCAGGGCUGGUGUGCCCGUAUGUGCAUGCCGGGGGGGAGGGUGUUCGUGGGAGACUAUGGUGUGGCCUCACCCACUUUUGCCCACAUCCACAGCUGGCAUGCAGCCCCACCUCCUCCCCCAGGCUGGCCGUAGGCGAAUGUGGACUUUCGGCCACCCUUGAUGUAGGGGCCGAAGAGCAGGGUUCUAACCAUAUCAAAACAAGCCUGGCACUUUCCGCAGGUGCUCAUGUGCCAUCUAAAAGUAUUGCCCCAUACAUACAAAAGAUGAACAGGUUAAAUCUGCAAUGCUACUCUGGGCAAGGGAUUUGGGGCAUAAUGGAAAACAGAUUUGAAAUUCACGGCUUGUUGUACGCUGAAAGAAAAUUAUAUGAAAAUGAUGUACCGGUGGUAUUUGACUCCUAGUAAACUAGCAAAAAUGUAUAGAACAAGUACAAAUACCUGCUGGAAAUGUAAGGAAGAAGAAGAUACCUUUUAUCAUAUGUGGUGGUCAUGUAAGGUAAUAAAGGCUUUCUGGGAAAUUAUAUACGGUAUACUGUAAUGAACUGAAAAAAAUGUGUAAAAUAUUUUUUGUAAAAAAACAAGCCAGAAACCUUUCUAUUAGGAAUUAUAGGUACCAACAUUCCAAAGGAGCAGAAAAGACUUUUGAUGUAUGCAACAACAGCAGCACGGAUGCUGCUACUCCAGAGAUGGAAAGAAGAAAGAGUCCCUGCCAGAGAGGAAUGGCAAACUAAGCUUGUUGGACUACGCCAAAAUGGCAAAACUGACCGGAAAGCUCAGAAACCAAGAAGACAAGAAAUUCAAGAAAGAAUGGGGAAAGUUUAUAACAAAUGCACACAACAAAAGGGAACAUGUGCAAAGUCCUUGCACAAGUGCAUGGCAAAUACAUGGAACAUGGCUGAGAAUGUGCAUCAAGGAUUCAUUUCAUACAGAACUGCUAGGUUGGCAGGAGCAGGG